AAUCCCUCAGAAUUCAUCGGAACCAUCGAAUCCAUAUCAAUCUGUGUCCGAUGUCAUGAAUGGAUAGGAUGGGUGGCUGCGGUGGUGGGUUGAUGAGUCGCGUAAGCGGCAUGACAACGUCUCCCCCCUUCCCUACUUUUCCAGCAUGUGCGAAACACGUGCAUAUCUCUAGUAUAAAUUCGCAAUCACCGACUUUCUACCGUUCCCGGCAGAUAUCUCCAACCCCAAAGAGCAUUGAUCGACUCAAUAUUCCGCUUCUUCCUCCGUCGUCCCACAGAGGCUUUCCCCAGACCACUGAUAGCCACCCCAUCCUCCCAUUUCCUCCCUGAGAUCCCUACCAACGCUCGCUCCCCCAGUCUCCCUGUCCGAAAUCUCCAGUCCCAAGAGCAUUGAUCGUCUCAAGAUAGCGCUUCUUCCUCCCUCGUCCGUCAGAGGCUUUCCGCAGAUCACCGAUAGCCACCUCGACUGGGGCGGGGCAACGGGGUUUCAAGAUUCCACUAAGGUGGUGGAGAGGAACCCGAAUGAGGUUGAUCCUUUCAGGUCCUAAGAGACCAUAGGAGGUUUCGGGGAGGUUGAUUUUUGCGAACGAAUAUGUAAGGGUAUCGCACGACUUAGACAAAACCAGCUAAGUGCAUGACAAUACGGUAUCAUCUUGAUGAUAAUCGUACUGUUAAAACAGAAAUUUAAUUUUAAUAGUUAUUUCCUUGUUAAAAUGCUUCUGAGCGUAAAUAUUUUGCUUGUACAUGUUGAUGCAUUAGAUAUCAACAGUGCGGUUAAUAUGGUUUAUGCUACUACUUGACCUAUAAGAACAUGACACGGUCCAGUGCCAACAUUGGAUUACUAGAGGGGAGAUUUGGUGGAUAUGGACCUAAAAGCCAGCAUGAUAAGUGGAGCUUACAAAAUUUAUUUAAGUUUGAACUAAAAUCAAAAUGCCAUUUAAUUUAAUUGAUUAAAGAUGCUGCACAAAACAAGACAGUUGGAUAAGGUGCUUAAACAUAAAUUUAUUUAAGUUUGAACCAAACAACUUAAAGCUGGUUGCUUUUUAGGAGGUGCAAUGUCGCCAUGAAUCAUAGUAUCAAGGGUUUGAAUCCCUCUUCAUCCACAACCUUCUCAAAAGAGAAGAACCUUUCUCCUGUGGGGUUAGGAGUAUUAUGAUCGGGUUAGCAAACAAGAAGCUAUUGAACUUGUGUAUGGUCUUUUUUGUCAAAACUAAUGGUUUUAUUUUUCUUAUUUUAUUACAAUAUACAAUCAUCACAUACGGUGACCAAGAACGGAAUCAGCAUAUUUGUGUUUUACACCCUUCUUUCUUAUGCUUAGGCAAAAUAGCAGAGAGCAAAUACAUUUGUUAGUAAUAUGGCAAAUGUGUUCUGUGUUAUUGAUGAUUGCUGACCAACCACAUGCUCUUAGAUGUUAUUGGAGAUGUUGCAGUGGUUGAAUUGACCAGUGUGGAAAGUUAGUAUUGGAGAAAAUGGUUUCCAGUAGUGUUGAAUUUCAACUUGCAUGCAUGCUGAAAAAUGAAUCUCUAGUUGAAAUUAUAGCUGGUUGAUCAGCCUUAUCUUCGCAAGUAUAUGUUGUUGCACAGGCAAAAGCAAAUGAAUUUGAAGGUGAUCCUUGCAAGUUUUAUGCUGAGACAAGAUUCAUGUUGACAAGUUUCCUCCAGUCACUGUGGGUCUUGUCGCAAUACAAGUGGCCUGACAAACUAAAGGUUGAUUUUGUGUUUGGUGAGAUCAGACAAGCAAUAUAACUCCUCUUGUCGCAAUACAAGUGGCCUGACUCUAGAUUUUGUGUUUCCGUAUUGUAAAGGUUCAUCCUCAAUUGGAACUUGGGUCAGUUUGCAAUUUUUUUUGUUUUCUCAGCUGCAGCUGGGAAAAAGCCGUGUCAGUAUCCUGGUUUUUGCUCUGGUAAUGACCCAGCGGUAAUGUACCCUUAGCUCUUGUGUUUUUCUUUGUCUAUUUGUCUGCCAGCCACUGACUUGCUAGUAGUAUGUCUGCCAAUGUUCAUGGUGAUUUUCUUAAAGGAACUCAAUUUGCUGCCAAAUAGUUGUUGAUAUGUUGAAAUUAUUUGCUUUGUUUC